ACGGCGAGUGAAGCGGCAAAAGCUCAAAUUUGAAAUCUGGUACCUUCGGUGCCCGAGUUGUAAUUUGGAGAGGGCAACUUUGGGGCCGUUCCUUGUCUAUGUUCCUUGGAACAGGACGUCAUAGAGGGUGAGAAUCCCGUGUGGCGAGGAGUGCGGUUCUUUGUAAAGUGCCUUCGAAGAGUCGAGUUGUUUGGGAAUGCAGCUCUAAGUGGGUGGUAAAUUCCAUCUAAAGCUAAAUAUUGGCGAGAGACCGAUAGCGAACAAGUACAGUGAUGGAAAGAUGAAAAGAACUUUGAAAAGAGAGUGAAAAAGUACGUGAAAUUGUUGAAAGGGAAGGGCAUUUGAUCAGACAUGGUGUUUUGUGCCCUCUGCUCCUUGUGGGUAGGGGAAUCUCGCAUUUCACUGGGCCAGCAUCAGUUUUGGUGGCAGGAUAAAUCCAUAGGAAUGUAGCUUGCCUCGGUAAGUAUUAUAGCCUGUGGGAAUACUGCCAGCUGGGACUGAGGACUGCGACGUAAGUCAAGGAUGCUGGCAUAAUGGUUAUAUGCCGCCCGUCUUGAAACACGGACCAAGGAGUCUAACGUCUAUGCGAGUGUUUGGGUGUAAAACCCAUACGCGUAAUGAAAGUGAACGUAGGUUGGGGCCUCGCAAGAGGUGCACAAUC
rnacentral:rRNA from 1 species